AGCGAACGCUGGCGGCAGGCCUAACACAUGCAAGUCGAACGAACCUUUCGGGGUUAGUGGCGGACGGGUGAGUAACACGUAGGAACGUGCCUUUAGGUUCGGAAUAACUCAGGGAAACUUGUGCUAAUACCGAAUGUGCCCUUCGGGGGAAAGAUUUAUCGCCUUUAGAGCGGCCCGCGUCUGAUUAGCUAGUUGGUUGAGGUAAUGGCUCACCAAGGCGACGAUCAGUAGCUGGUCUGAGAGGAUGAUCAGCCACAUUGGGACUGAGACACGGCCCAAACUCCUACGGGAAGCAGCAGUGGGGAAUCUUGCGCAAUGGGCGAAAGCCUGACGCAGCCAUGCCGCGUGAAUGAUGAAGGUCUUAGGAUUGUAAAAUUCUUUCACCGGGGACGAUAAUGACGGUACCCGGAGAAGAAGCCCCGGCUAACUUCGUG
rnacentral:rRNA from 1 species